rnacentral:misc_RNA from 3 species
AACGCACCUUGCGCUCCUUGGUAUUCCGAGGAGCAUGCCUGUUUGAGUGUCAUUAAAUUCUCAACCUUUAUUAACUUUUUGGUUAGUAAGUGGAUUGGAAGUGGGGGCAUGUUGGUUUCUUCAUUGAAAUAAACUCCCCUGAAAUGCAUUAGCUGGUUGCCUUGUGCGAACAUGUCUAUUGGUGUGAUAAUUAUCUACGCCGUGGGCUAUUUGCCGUUUAUAGCACUGCUUAUAAUCGUCUGUUCAUUCAGACAAUAUAUGACAAUUUGACCUCAAAUCAGGUAGGACUACCCGCUGAACUUAA